GGGGGGGGGGGGGGGGGGGGUGGUGCCUUCUCCUGUCACGUUCCCACUCCUGCCCAUCUCCAUCAGUACAUUUAGAGAAGCAUCGUCCUUACUCCUGUAACGCUGGCUUGAAUUCUUGUAUAAUUCUGCCAUCAGUAAAGCCCUCGCUAACCUGAGUGAUUCUGAAACUACACAAGCUGCAUUUGGGAGAAGGAGAAGUGUCUGGGAAGGGGCCCCGAAGAGAGGAAGAAGAACAGACGGAGACCAGGGGGAACUGGGAAGGAGCAAGUGCGGAGGCGAUCCUGAAGCUGCUGAGGAAGGAAGAUGGGGUGAGACUGGAAAAUGAAAACAGACAUGCAAAAGAAGCUGGAAGGAGUGGUGGGUGAGAUGUAUGUAGACCCAGGAGGAAAAGGGAGAAAACAGAAAUGAAAAGCAAGCCAGAAGUGGUGGGCUUGAGAGCAAACUUCUCCCUCCAGAGCUGCGGCAGGACAGGGUUGACCUUGAAAGGUCAGGGGUCACCUGUGGCCGUCUGUCUGCACCCCACACUGCUGCACGCCAGUGGGGGCUGCACCCAUGAGAUGAAGGAGAACAGUUUGGCCAUCUGGUCAGGGCUGCAUCUUUCCCCUGCCUCCACACAAAGUGGUAGCUGACGUUGCUGCUUCCCAUAACCCAUGAUGUUCACAGACGAAACUCAGAAGCCCCUGGUCACUCUCAGGCCUGUUCUUGUGAUUGAGCCAGUUAUCUCGAGGAACAAGAGGAGAGGCGUGCGUUUGUAGAUAAUCUCUUGUUUAGGGUGAGGCUUAUUGUCUAGAUUAAUGUGUAGAGUCGGUUGGUACCGUUGACAUUUUCACUGACAGAUCUUACUUGUUAAGAGCUUAAGGGUGUGUGUGUGUAUGAUGUGUAGCUAAGUGAUAGGAAUGGAGAGAGAGUUCUAAAAUACGCAUAGAUAGAAACCAUACAUGUUAAACAUGAGUGUGUGAUAUGAUCAUAUACACAAGGAUACAUAUACUCCCAUAUAAUAUGUCUAGAUUCAGAGUUCCAGGAAACUUAAGAAUAAAUGUGCUCUUCAUUAAACCCCAGAUUCCCAUUUUAA
rnacentral:lncRNA from 1 species